rnacentral:rRNA from 1 species
GGUCAGCCUGCCCGGUGAUAUAAUUUAACGGCCGCGGUAUACUGACCGUGCGAAGGUAGCAUAAUCACUUGUUCUUUAAAUGGGGACUAGUAUGAAUGGCACCACGAGGGCUUUACUGUCUCCUUUCUUCAAUCAGUGAAACUGACCUCCCUGUGAAGAGGCAGGGAUACUACUAUAAGACGAGAAGACCCCAUGGAGCUUUAAACCCAACAACAGCCCAAACACCUACCCCCUCAAAGUUUUUAAAGUUUUGUUAGUUGGUUUUAGGUUGGGGUGACCGCGGAGUACAAACCACCCUCCACGACGAAUGGGCCUACCCCCUUACCCAAGAAUUACACCUCUAAGGAUUAACACAUUAACGUAAAAUGAUCCAAAUAUUUGAUCAACGAACCAAGUUACCCUGGGGAUAACAGCGCAAUCCAUUUUUAGAGCCCCUAUCGACAAAUGGGUUUACGACCUCGAUGUUGGAUCAGGGUAUCCCGGAGGUGCAGCCGCUUCCAAUGGUUUGUUUGUUCAACAAUUAAAACCCUACGUGAUC